UGGGGAAUAUUGCGCAAUGGACGAAAGUCUGACGCAGCGACGCCGCGUGAGGGAAGAAGGCCUUCGGGUCGUAAACCUCUGUCAGGAGGGAAGAACCCCUUGGAUUCGAAUAGGGUCCUUGGCUGACGGUACCUCCAAAGGAAGCACCGGCUAACUCCGUGCCAGCAGCCGCGGUAAUACGGAGGGUGCGAGCGUUAAUCGGAAUCACUGGGCGUAAAGCGCGCGUAGGCGGCUUGGCAAGUCAGGCGUGAAAUCCCUCGGCCUAACCGGGGAACUGCGUUUGAAACUGCUAGGCUUGAGUUCGGGAGAGGGUGGCGGAAUUCCCGGUGUAGGAGUGAAAUCCGUAGAUAUCGGGAGGAACACCAGUGGCGAAGGCGGCCACCUGGACCGAUACUGACGCUGAGGCGCGAAAGCGUGGGGAGCAAACAGG
rnacentral:rRNA from 2 species